rnacentral:sRNA from 1 species
UCCUGGGUGGAUCUCAAGCCCUGGCUGUGAGGACCCACACCCCACCUGAGAGAAGACUGCAUCUGUCAAUUUCUCCAAAGCUGGAGCUGCUGGCUCCCGGAUGAAUUUCAGACCUGGGGUUCUCAGCUCCAGGCAACUUGGACUCCCAGGACCUCCUGAUGUUCCUGACCAUGCUGCUUACCACCCCUUCCGCCGUCUGGCCAUCUUGCCUGCUUCAGCACCACCAGCCACCUCAAAUCCUGAUCCAGCUGUGUCUCGUGUCAUGAAUAUCAAAAUCAAAGAAACAACCAUGACAACCCAAACCCCAGGUAAGUUCCCAGCCCCCUUGGCCCCUUUCCACAUCCUUGCCCCCAGCCUGCCCUUCCUGCUCCAGGAGCCGUGCCCCGGCUGUCCCAGCCCCCAUACAGGCUCCCUCUGCCAUCCUGCCACUGCCUGGGCAGAGCGUGGAGCGGCUCUGUGUGGACCCCAGACACCGCCAGGGGCCAGUGAACCUGCUCUCAGACCCUGAGCAAGGGGUUGAGGUGACUGGCCAGUAUGAGAGGGAGAAGGCUGGGUUCUCAUGGAUCGAAGUGACCUUCAAGAACCCCCCGGUACGGGUUCACGCAUCCCCUGAACACGUGGUGGUGACUCGGAACCGAAGAAGCUCUGCGUACAAGUGGAAGGAGACGCUGUUCUCAGUGAUGCCCGGCCUGAAGAUGACCAUGGACAAGACGGGUCUCCUGCUGCUCAGUGACCCAGACAAAGUGACCAUCGGCCUGUUGUUCUGGGAUGGCCG